GCGGGGUGGAGAACCGAACUUAAGAGGCCAGCACCGGACCCCCUAGUUCCUCUGUGUGGGAAGAGGCUGGGACCUCAGGGAUGUUGGCUAGUGGUGCGCCGGGUUGGGCCUUCUACGCAUUUGACCCUCCUCUGCAUCUCUGCGUGCCCUGUACGAGUUCGAGUUCGAUCCCCGGCCAGGGAGGUGACCCACGUGGCCCAGUAGACCUCUCCUGUCUUGCCCGCUGUUCCCCUCAUGCUGCACUGACUGCCGAUAACUUCAUAGUGCUGGGUCUUAAGGCCCUAUCCAUUUGAUUUGUAUUGACAGUAAGACAUUAAAUUGUAUUGACAGUAAGCUACAUUGUGGAUAUAAACUCAAAUGUGCAUUAAGGAUUAGUUUUAGGUUCAUGACUCAUUCUGGGCUGAGGCAAUAACAAACCAGAUAUGAUAGUCAUUGAGAUACUGAAUAUAAAAAGAGGAAUGGAGGCUGAUAAGUAGUAACACCAAUAUUUAAGAGGAGAAAGCUGAAAGCUAUAAACAGUAAAAAAAAAAAAAAUGAACAAAUAAAGAAUGGGUUGGAAUAUCAUGCAUUAUAGAAACCAAGAGAGAUAAAAAUUUCAGGAAUUACUCAGUCAAGGGAAAGAAGGAAGUUGUUAACCUACUAUUCACUUACUCGACUUUUUAUUGAGCACCUACUAUGUGGCAGAUACUGUUCCAACUUUGAAUAGAACAAAGACACCCCAAUCCAUGGAGCUUACAUUCUUGAGAGGCUUAUAUUGAUUUUCCCCAUGGACUCCAGACCUGUUGAUCCAUUGGCUUCCUGGACAUUUCCUCAUGGGUGUCUCACAGAAUUCACACUGGAGAGAAACCCUAUGAAUGUUAUGAGUAUGGACAAACCUUCAGUCAAACUUCACACCUUGUCACACACCAAAGAAUCCAUAGCAGAGAGAAACCCUUCAAAUGUAAUGAAUGUCAGAAGACCUUCAGGCAGUGUUCAUGCCUUACUGAACACCAGAGACUCCAUGGGGAGAGAAACCUAUGAAUACUGAUGAAUGUGGGAAAUCCUUCAGGGGACGCACAGAUUUUCUUAAACAUCAGAGACUACAAACUGGGAAGGAACUCAAAUGUGAAAAAGUCUGCACUUCUCAGCAAAAUAAGCCAGAAAGAAAAAGAAAAAUACCAGAUGGUCUCACUCAAAACAGGAAUCUAGAAAACCUAAAUAAGGGACCAGGAAAAAGAAUAACUAUAAGAAAGAAAAAAAUCAAAAUCAACAAACAACUAUGAACCAGAGACACAC